rfam:Dipodomys ordii contig_65503, whole genome shotgun sequence.
GGGAAAGUGGCUCGGUGGUAGAGUGCUUGCCUUGCAUGCAAGAAGCUCUGGGUUCAAUUCCUCAGCACCA